rnacentral:rRNA from 1 species
UACGAAGGGGGCUAGCGUUGCUCGGAAUGACUGGGCGUAAAGGGCGCGUAGGCGGGAUGGCAAGUCGGUCGUGAAAUCCCUCGGCUCAACCGAGGAACGUCGAUCGAUACUGCUGUUCUUGAGGAUUGCAGAGGAGACUGGAAUUCCCGGUGUAGCGGUGAAAUGUGUAGAGAUCGGGAGGAACACCGGUGGCGAAGGCGGGUCUCUGGGCAAUUCCUGACGCUGAGGCGCGAAAGCGUGGGGAGCAAACGGG